rnacentral:rRNA from 1 species
AGCAGCCGCGGUAAUUCCAGCUCCAAUAGCGUAUAUUAAAGUUGUUGCAGUUAAAAAAGCUCGUAGUUGAAUUUCGGGAUCAAUAUGUCUGUCGUGCCUUUGGUACGUACGGGUAUAAUUGGUUUCUACCUUCUGAUGAACCUUGAUGCCAUUAAUUUGGUGUCUUGGGGACUCAGGACUGUUACCUUGAAAAAAAUUAGAGUGUUUAAAGCAGGCAUACGCUUGAAUACAUUAGCAUGGAAUAAUGAAAUAGGACGUUCGAUUCUAUUUUGUUGGUUUCUAGGAUCGACGUAAUGAUUAAUAGGGAUAGUUGGGGGCAUUAGUAUUCAAUUGUCAGAGGUGAAAUUCUUGGAUUUAUUGAAGACUAACUACUGCGAAAGCAUUUGCCAAGGAUGUUUUCUAUUAAUCAAGAACGAAAGUUAAGGGGAUCGAAGACGAUCAGAUACCGUC